AACGAACUGAACAUCCAUGAGUCAUGUAUUAAAAUCAGGACUUUUAGACACAUUUACUUAUAUAAUUCUCACAAAAACCCCUUGAAGUAAGGAUUUCCAUCCUCGUUUUGUAGAUGGGAACACUGAAGAUCGGAAAGAUACGUAAUGUAUCUGUUGGCAAAUUACUAUUAUGGAUUGUUAAGGGCACAGUUGAGCUUCUGGAGGCAGAGACCAGGGUCUGCAAAUUGCUUCCCUGCAUAUUAGUUACAGAUUGGUCAAGGCAUGUGAACUUCUCCCAGCCUCAGUUUCUUCAUUUUUAAAAUAAUUGUCAUAUUACCAUAUAAAAGAUGCAUGUUAUAUAUAACAUCUUACAAUGUUGUAUAUUCUAUUUAAAAUAGUCACUGCUUGCCAACAGUGUUGUUCAACAGCAGUUAGCUAUUCCUGUCAUCACUGCAGUCAUUUCUUGUGUGCUUACUUACAGGUCUCUCUCUCCCCAGCACCUCCCUUAGUUUUGAGAAGAAUGCAAAGAAGAAAUUAAGUGUGAGCCUCUCUUUUCCCAUCGUUACCCUCCAUUGUUCUCUUGACACCCUGCUUUUGCAGACCGAGAGUUUGAGAUCCUCUCCCAGGAGCCAAGGAGAGGGGAACAGCCGGCUUCACAUCAUCUUUCUAUUCAGCAAGAUACAAAAAGCUGAAGCCAGAAUGAUAGAAAAGCAACAAAAAAAACACGGUCCUUACUCAUUUCCCUUCCCACUUCAGAGCAAAUAUGGUGCCUGGUGUUCGAAGGGAGAACUUGUGGGCAGAGCAGGAAGCAUAAGUAUGGUUGAAAGAUCAAAUAUUUGAUUCAGGCAUCAGGAGAAAGACUGUGAUGCUGGGAAACACAAGUGAUGUACUGUUGGAUUUAAUCUACUUGGAAAAAACCUAGGAAAACCAAAAUAUCGUCAACUAACACCUGAAAUGUGUCAGCACCAUCUGUCUCCAACAUUAAACAAAACCCAGGAGAUUCUGGGAGAAAGAAAAUAGGAAAUUUAAUGAUGAACUUAACCUGAGUAACUUGAUAAGUGUUACCUUUGUGGUUAGCCAUUCACCAGCAAGUCCCUAAAAUGAUCUGAA
rnacentral:lncRNA from 1 species